AGGACAGUGGCGGCUGAGGCUCCCCUGCUUUUCCUGUGCCAGGUGUUUGAAGUGCAGCCUAAGCUGGCCCUGGGCUGCCCCCAGACCCUGCUCCAGGGUGGGACACCCUGGCCAGCAGACACAGGGAGCAGAAGUGCUACUGAAGGAGGAGGCACCGUGAGCCUGCUGGGAGGAAGCAGCACGACCAGCCUCUCUGGGGAGGACGUGUCCUGGCGAGUGCAGCAGAUUGCCCCAUCACUGGGGAUCUCAGCCCCCCUCCCACGCCUGUUAGCAGCGGUGCACGUGGUCGGCCCCUGCUCCACGUGACCCGCAGGCCGGGGCAGGGACACUUCCCUCGGCGCCGCACACAAACACCACCU